CUGGCUCAGGAUGAACGCUAGCGACAGGCCUAACACAUGCAAGUCGAGGGGCAGCAUAGAAGUAGCAAUACUUGGUGGCGACCGGCGCACGGGUGAGUAACACGUAUGCAACCUGCCUGUAAGAGGGGAAUAACCCGGAGAAAUUCGGACUAAUACCGCAUAAUACCGAGAGACUGCAUGGUUUUUCGGUUAAACAUUUAUGGCUUACAGAUGGGCAUGCGUAUGAUUAGCUAGUAGGUGAGGUAACGGCUCACCUAGGCAACGAUCAUUAGGGGUUCUGAGAGGAAGGUCCCCCACACUGGUACUGAGACACGGACCAGACUCCUACGGGAGGCAGCAGUGAGGAAUAUUGGUCAAUGGGCGAGAGCCUGAACCAGCCAAGUCCGCGUGAAGGAAGAAGGUUCUAUGGAUUGUAAACUUCUUUUGUAAGGGAAUAAAAAGUGGUACGUGUACCAUAUUGUAUGUACUUUACGAAUAAGGAUCGGCUAACUCCGUGCCAGCAGCCGC
rnacentral:rRNA from 1 species